AUUGAACGCUGGCGGAAUGCUUUACACAUGCAAGUCGAACGGUAGAGGGGGCAACCCCUCGAGAGUGGCGAACGGGUGAGUAAUAUAUCGGAACGUGCCCAGUCGUGGGGGAUAACGUAGCGAAAGUUACGCUAAUACCGCAUACGAUCUAAGGAUGAAAGCGGGGGAUCGCAAGACCUCGCGCGAUUGGAGCGGCCGAUAUCAGAUUAGGUAGUUGGUGGGGUAAAGGCUCACCAGGCCUGCGAUCUGUAGCUGGUCUGAGAGGACGACCAGCCACACUGGAACUGAGACACGGUCCAGACUCCUACGGGAGGCAGCAGUGGGGAAUUUUGGACAAUGGACGCAAGUCUGAUCCAGCAAUGCCGCGUGCAGGACGAAGGCCUUCGGGUUGUAAACUGCUUUUGUACAGAACGAAAAGGUUUCUACUAAUACUAGGAGCUCAUGACGGUACUGUAAGAAUAAGCACCGGCUAACUACGUGCCAGCCGCCGCGGUAA
rnacentral:rRNA from 1 species